rnacentral:piRNA from 1 species
UCAUGCAGCUUGUGAGGAAGCCUUUG